UUUCAUGUUUAUUACUUUACAUGUCUGGUAAUCUAAAAAAUGAUUUAACUCUACUUAGUAUAUGUUCUCCCUUCAAACUGGAAGAUGGAAGGGGUUUUAGAGUUCAUUUGAACUAGAGAUUCUAGAAAUGCUGAAUAUCAAAGAAUGUCAUUUUUUUUCUAAAAUGUAAAAAAAAAAUCAGUGCUGGAUAUAAUCAGGAGCUGGUUAUUUAGACAAAAAAAAUAUCCUGUACUAUUGCCAUUACUUCAUCAAAGAAGAACCAAAAGAAAACUAGGCACAAAAAUAAGUAUUUAGUUUUAUAUAUUUUAAAAAGGAUUGAAAUUUUUACCUCAUUAUUCUUAUAAUCUCACAGGUUAGUGGAAAAUUUUAGUAUCACAACUUCAUUAUCACAGACUGGCAUUGGGGAUACCUUUCUAGUCCAAUGCUCUCAAUACUAUAGAAAACUGAAGGAAGUGAUUUUGUGGCUGAAUCAGAAAUAAGACCCCUUUCUUCUGAUUCCCCACUGAGUUGGUGUCUUUAUGUCUAGCUGAAGACCUAGGGCUGACUGUUAAAUUUCCUUGCCUCUCUAUCUUUGUUUUCUUAUUCUGAAAAGCAGGUUGCUGAUGAAGACUACCAAGGUCACUUUCUGUUCCCUAACAUUGAAGAUGGAAGGGGAGAGGUUCUUCACCCAGCGGGGCAUACAGACACAAAUAACAUCUGGAAAACCUCUCACUAGAAUAUAAACCAAAUGGGGAAAGACGAGCUAAAAUGUGAACCAUUUUUCACUUGUGGGUACAUGUUGGCAAUGAGCCAGAUGUGGAGCUCAGUUCUACAAGCGAUUGACACGGGUCCCCAUCAGCUCUGCCAAUCAGAACCACUCAUACUCCAGGACGGUGACUCUGGAAACUCCCAAGAGCCUAUACAAAGAAACUCUUCAUUCAGAACUUGAAGGAUGUCCACACCCAUCUCCAGUGUGCUGAACGUGCCCACGGUGAUGACACCUCCAUCAGGGAAUGAGUCCAGAUAUAAACUAAGCAGGACAAGAAACCUUUGUGCAAUACUAGUUGGUGCAGCCUUAAUUCAGAGACAAUACACACGAUGUCUAGAAAUAAAACACUCCAGCCUUCCCACGUGAAAUUCAAAAGAAAAAUUGAAUGCCAGCUUUCUCUGUUUUAAAUGAAUCUUAAAACACAAAAGUAGGGCUGUUGCUCAGCAACCAAGAUGAACACAGAAAUGGGUUGUUCCUGCAGCUGUGAGACCCUGUGAAGUCCUAGGAGCGUUGGGGGUGGGUGAGCAGGGUUGAAAGUCCCGCCAGCUGAUGUGGUAGUGCAGGUUACAGACAUAGUGACUGGAAGAAAUAAAGGAAUGUGGCCAUUCUUACAUCCUAGUGUUUGGUCCUGAAGAUCAGAUGAGUUACAUGUAAAUGUUGGAGGUACAAAAUGGCAGAGGAACCCAGAAUAAGCCAUUUCAGUCUCUCUGGUGUCAAUCCCAGUGUCAAAGCUUCCUCAAGGGUCCUGUUCGCCAAAGGGAGAAGGACCAGAGAGACAGGGAAACGUCAUUUCAGGGGCUGGAAUAGCACAUGCUAAGCCAGGAAUCACCUCAACACAGGGUGUUAUUUAGAGCACACAUCUCAUGAAACCACAUAAUGCAUCUUCCAGGAAAAUUUCAAAAUUCCAUUAAGUUUUCAAAUGAAUAAAUAACAGGUUGUUAUUUAGGCAAUAACAUGUGACUAUGGGCCCACAGUAUAUUUACUAAACAGUGUCAUUCAAAAUACAUGGAGAGAAAGGCCAAUAUUCUAAUGACAGAAUUACUGAUGGACAAUAGAAAAAAAGAGGAAAUGAUAAAUAUCUGGCCUACUAAAUCAUCCAUUUAUUCCCAAAAUUCCAUCCCAUUUUCUUACUUAUUAGACCUUAGUGUUUUAUUUUAUUCUGUUGUCUGUUUAAUGUACCCUUACAAAUGACAGAGGUCAAUAGAUGGUGAUUAAAUGCAUGGACUAAAAUGGAAUUAAGCUUUGCUUUUUUAGAGUUUUCAAAGUAAAGAAAGUCUUAUCAUAGUUUUGAAGACAGACAUUGUGUAUGUGUGCACGUGUACAUGUGUGGAUACAUUAUGGGCAUGAAUGUAUGCAUGUGUUUAUGAAAGUUAUGUGCAUGUUAUGUGCAUGUGUAUAUGUGUGACGGUGUGUAUAUGCACAUGUGUAUGUUUAUGUGUAUAUAUACAUUGCAUGUGUUUAUAUAUGUGUGUAUAUGACAAGUAUAUGUUUAUGUGAAUGCUUGCAUAGGUGUGUGAGUGUGUUUAUGUGCAUGUGUGUAUAUGUAUAGAUGUGGGUAGGCAUGUGCAUUGUGUGCAUUGUGUAUAUGUGUUCAGAGAUCAUCACUGGGAAUUGUAUGUUCAUACACAUGUGACAACCAUGUGAUGAACAUUUCACAUUUAGCAAUACCUUAAUAGAAACAUAUAACAUACAAACAUAGUUUCAAGAAAAACAAUGACCACUAGGCUUCAAUUGCAUUUUCUUUUUCUUAUCCGUGUCUCCACUUUUUCCUUCUCUACGGCCUCCUAUGUUGCUCAGGGACAGACACUUCACAUGAGAAGCAGACUCUGGACCUAUCCUGUCAGGAUCAGUGAGAAAGGCAGAGGCCAUUCUGAUUCGGUUUUAACGUUUUUUUUCCAAGCUGGCUCAGGGAAAACUGAGGAGCCAGGCAAACAACAACAAGCUUCUAUUCCCACCACUGAAUUGGGCUCAGUUCUCAGGGAGCCUGUUCAGGAAGCACAGAGCAUCCCAAACAGGCAGGAACAGGGACCCUGUGUCCACAGUCCUGUGGCUGGACUCACUGCCACCUCUAGGGGGAACCCCAUUCUCAGGAAUUUUUCCCUCUCAGCACAGCCCAGACCUUGACUUUCCACAGUCCCCUCCCCCACCUGCUCCUCCACAGAAUAUUCACAUUUGGCUUUCAGAUGUCCACAGCUGGCAUUUUUCUUGAAACUUUUUAGUUAAAAUGUGAAUAAAUUAUUCAGGCAGAGGCACAUGUCGGAAUUGUUAUUACCAUAAAAGAACCAAUGCUUCUUGAAUAUUCUACACCAAGAAAAGGAUGGGAAGGCCCUGAGUCUCCAUGAAUAGAGAAAGCUUUUCCUUCAAAGAACUCAAGGUCCUCCGGCGUUCUGAUAAUUACAGUUCACAUGGUCUCUUUUCCUCCAAGUCUGUACACAGGAUAUGCACAAAAGUGUUCGAUGCCCACAGAGGUUUGGGUCAUGCUGAGAUUAAAAAAAAAAAACAAAACCCCAAAACUUAAUAACAAGGAAUAGAUUCCUUUAUUACAGACAUAGCCUUUAACAUGCUAAUUCACACUGAAUCUGCACAUGUGACAGUUCCUGCUACCCUUCCUUGAAACCACGUUUUUCCUCUUGGCGGCACACCUACUAUUCUUUCUUGGGAUUAAUGUUUCAAGGAGCAUAGUUAAUACCAUGAAAUUAAGCAUAAGGGAAGCUAGAGGAAAUAGCAGAAAAGGAGGACAAAGAGGACACAGAUUCCGUACAGGACUGAUUCAUGCCUGUGUCUUGUGUUGGGAUCUUACCCAGCCUUGAUCUCAGAGUGCACUGCCCAUUUCAUUCAUAAAAAGCCAACUUUCUAAAUUAAUGACAGCAUGGCUCCUACCAGAAGGAAUUUCAGUAUGCUCUUCCUUGUCAUGCAGGGCUUCUCUCUAUCUGGCCACCCCCUGCCUUUUUAGCAGAGUCCCCAUUUUGUGUGUGAUAUACAAUCCAUCUAUGACAUGUGGAGCUUCUUGGAAGAUGUCAGGCAUCUUCCUCUUCUUUCACUCUGAUAAUGCUCUUCCUUCUGCCUGGAAAGCUUUCUUCUCCCUACUGUCCCUUCCCUGUGCUCUGCGCAUGCUCAAUCAAUUCCCACCAUCUCUCAAGACUGACCCACACAGAGCAUGGCCAUUGCUUUGACACCUCUGUGAUCUCACCACUUCUUAUACCGCUCACACACCUGCAGAAUAGCAACAGUUAAGUUUGUUAUUUGUAAGUCCUUCUGGACCAGGGGUAUCUCAAGGUCCAAGAACCACAUUCAGCAUCUCCUGCAACCAAUAGACUCUUCCACACAGCACACAAGGAUGGCAUCACAGGAGUGGAUGGACAGUGACCUAAGAGCUCUGUUUUCUGUGACAGAUAACUGAACAAGGUCAGAACAAAAAAGCCUCUUAGUUUUUCCUUCUCAUUGCCAAGCCCCAGUCAUCCUCAAGGGUAGUAAGCGAUUGAAAAGGUUUUAAAACUUGACAAAAAAGAAGAGCCUUGAGACUUCUAAUAGAAUCAAAUGUAGAGACAAGCAUGGUGCCCUUGAACCAGGUUCGCUGGUUCCUUCCCACCCAGUCAUAUCUGCUGAGGCCCCUCUCAGAAGCCCAUGGCUCCAAGAAACCCUUUCUCACAGCUAUUAACACAGGAAAUGUCCCCAUAGUAAAGCUUCUUUAACCAGGAACAAUCCAUCCUCCUGAAGGAUUAUAUUCCACCACCAUGAAGUCAGGCUGUAUCAUGUAUCUGUUCUGCAAUAUGGAAUACAGAUCUUCACUUCCUAGUAUAAUGAAAACCGAUCUACAAAGUUUUCUGAGGGAAAGAGGAAAAUAAAUGCUGCAUACUUUCAAAGCUUUUGUUUGUAAAUGAAAAUGUAUAGAUAACAAUAACUAGCUUUCUGGGCUGAAAACAAAUAAAAACCCACCUAUUUGGAUAUGGGACUUAGAAUUUGCAGGAAGAUUUAGUAUAACCUGUGUAUCCAUUCAAGCACUAAACACAUGCCAGGUGCCAGGUGCUUCCCAGGACUCUGAACAUCAAUAUUUCCUCUGAUUUUAAGGAAUACAGAGUCUGACAGAGGAAGAAAGAUUCAUAAAAUAUAACUUGAAUACAUUUAAUACAUUUAAUAAAUAAUACAGUGUGACAUAGUUCAUAACAGAGAUGUGAAAGACCUACUUCACAGCCAUACACAAGGAAUUAAGCACUGGUAAGGGAAUAUCACUUGCCCCUGGCAUCAAGAGUGGGAACAGGGGAGUUCCCACUGUGGCACAGUGGAUUAAGGAUCUGACUACAGCAGUGUGGGUUGCUGCAGAGGCACAGGUUCGAUCCCAGGCCUGGUAUGUUGGGUUAAGUAUCCAGGGUUGCGACAGCUGUGGUGUAGGUCACAGCUGCUGCUCAGAUUCCAUCCCUGGCCUGGGAAUUUCCAUAUGCUGUAGG
rnacentral:lncRNA from 1 species